rnacentral:rRNA from 1 species
AGAGUGAACGCUGGCGGUAGGCCUAACACAUGCAAGUCGAACGGCAGCACAGUAGGAGCUUGCUCUUACGGGUGGCGAGUGGCGGACGGGUGAGGAAUACAUCGGAAUCUACCUUUUGGUGGGGGAUAACGUAGGGAAACUUACGCUAAUACCGCAUACGCCCUUCGGGGGAAAGCCGGGGACCAGCAAUGGCCUGGCGCUGAUAGAUGAGCCGAUGUCGGAUUAGCUAGUUGGUGAGGUAAUGGCUCACCAAGGCGACGAUCCGUAGCUGGUCUGAGAGGAUGAUCAGCCACACUGGAACUGAGACACGGUCCAGACUCCGUACGGGAGCAGCAGGUGGGGAAUA